rnacentral:rRNA from 1 species
GAUGAACGCUGGCGGCGUGCCUAACACAUGCAAGUCGAACGAAGCUUGACGGAUGAUUUCUUCGGAAUGAAACCAGAUAUGACUUAGUGGCGGACGGGUGAGUAACACGUGAGCAACCUGCCUUUCAGAGGGGGAUAACGGCUGGAAACGGUCGCUAAUACCGCAUGAUGUGUUCGGAUGGCAUCAUCUGAACAUCAAAGAUUUAUCGCUGAAAGAUGGGCUCGCGUCUGAUUAGAUAGUUGGUGGGGUAACGGCCUACCAAGUCUACGAUCAGUAGCCGGACUGAGGGGUUGAACGGCCACAUUGGGACUGAGAUACGGCACAGACUCAUACGGGAGGCAGCAGUGGGGAAUAUCGCAAAAUGGGGGAAACCCUGAUGCAGCAACGCCGCGUGAAGGAUGACGGUUUUCGGAUUGUAAACUUCUUUUCUUAGUGACGAAGACAGUGACGGUAGCUAAGGAAUAAGCAUCGGCUAACUACGUG